rnacentral:misc_RNA from 1 species
ACCUGUGAAUCCAAGGGAUCAGCUUCACGUGAAACGAGAUGUUGCAAACUAACGAUCACAUUGGAAGCUGCUAAAAUAGGAUCAAUUGAGUUCUGUGGAAUGGCAGCAUGUCCUCCCUUUCCACUUAUCACUGCAUCAAAGAAACCGCUUGCAGCCAAAAUGGGACCAGCUCUUAAGGCAACUGUACCAAUAGGGUAAUGACCAGAAACAUGUAUUCCAAAGAUGGCAUUAAUAUCUUUGAGGACUCCAGCAUCCAACAUUCUCUUGGCUCCUCCAUGGCCUUCCUCAGCUGGUUGGAAAAUAAGAGCAACCGUUCCCUAUCAAAACAACAAGAAUUAGUCAAGAAUUUUAUUUUGAAAGAGAAAUUGGCAUUCUACAUUACUGCCGAUUACUAAAAGAUAACGACACAUAAAACUGACUCUGGUUCUACAGCACUGAAUUUCCUAAGUGAUGCACAGCGAAGGGGUACAAUGUUCUCAUGGUGUACAAUAUUUUAGUCAGAGACUGUAGUUGCUACAUCUGUAAUGGAGGGGGGAAUGGAAAAGGUAAAAAGGGUAAACAUGUUUGGAAGAUGAUAUGCUUAUAGCUCAUUUCAAAUCUUCUAUACAAGGCAUCUACUCUCCUCAUGCCUUUAGAUAAUUAAUUUUAGUUGUUGCGAUCACACUUCAUUAUGAAUUUUUUACCACAUUAUCCAUGGGGCUCUCUUACCUCUUCCUUAUCUAAGCUGACAUUAUCAAAGGAGAAAAGGAAGGAAGGAAUGGGCAAUAAGUGAAUAUUUGAGCAGAAACAAAUCAUGCUUCUAAAAUUUCAGAACAUCAGAACCCAUUGAUCCAGUCCAGUGUAAUGUCCUUUUCAUGUGCUAGAGGAAUGCAUCUAAAAGAAACCAAUUAGUCAGUAUGGGAGUUUAAUGUCGGAUUCAUGAGGACAAAUAAUUCUGGGUGUUCUCGGUAUUUUAGACAGACUUGCCAAAGUAGUUCAGAGUCUCCAGACAUCUCAGUAAAGUUGCUUAUAAUUAGUGGCCAAAUAGCUUUCCUAUCAUGCAGUCCAGGUAGGAAUCUGACAUCUCUUACACUUUUACCUAUGUUAUAUGACCCCAUGAAAGGUUGAAUGAAAACUUUAAGCCAUAGGAACCUUCGAUAUGAAAUUCUCAUUCAUGUUAUAUUCAUAAAGAAGCCAAUUUCUUUAUUUUCAGAACAAGAGCUCCACACCAAAGACCUUAAUGCAGAUAAGAUGUUAAGAAAUAUGCCACCGGCAGCCUAUAAGCUUGACUCCAGCUAGAGACCUCAUCAGCCUGUAUGUUACAUGUAUGACACAUGCUUGCCAUUAAACAUCGCAAACUUUCAUAUCUGCUAGUUAAGAUACUUAUUUACAGGAAAAGAAGCCAGGGGAAGAAAACUUAAUUAAUGUGGGGCAUUAUAUCUUCCCUUCACUGACCACUAAAUUUCUUUCUGCAUUUCACAAUCCUGGAUCUAUCCCACACUCUCUGCAACUAUAGAAAAACUAAUUCUUCAUCAAUUUAAAUGAUUUGAUUAAUCAUAUGGACCUGACUAUUCAACAUCAGGUCAAGUCAAAAUAAUAUGUCUUGCAAGGAAAAGAGAGAACUUGGUGAAAGACAAUUAAAAUGAUGACAAUUAAGUAUAUAUGGAAUCAUAAGAGAUGAUUAGAAAUACCAAAGGGUAUAACCUUUUCAGCCCAAGAUUACAAACAAAAAAGUAAGCAUUUAUAUCUAAAAGAAGACAAAUAUAUGUAGAUCCAAUCCAACUAUUAAGGGUGACAGUACACAAAAUAAAGGAAUUAGAUAUCUUUAAGAGACAAAAAUCUACCUCAAGGGAAUGCCAGCUUCUUGUGAAGCGAAAAGGCUAAACAACAAAAAAUCAUUGGGAAUUUUGAAGUAAGUUCACGCUAGAACAACUAGUUCUCAUUGAUGAAUAAUCCAUGAGAAGAUUUGGUACAAAGAAAAUAACAUGCACAAGCAUGGAAACUGAUCAUAUAUUUAUGUAAUUCAAACACAAGAUUUUUAAAUAUUUCACAAAAUUCCAAUCCAUCACAUGUUUUGCAUUGUAUAUAUAUAUAAUUAUUCAACUAUCCAAUGCUUUUGGAUGUGACCUCUACUCUCUAUUUCCACCCAAUUGGAUAUUCCGUUGAAAGAAAAUAAUUUGAGGAAGAUUAAACCUGUAAUUCGUGGCGAUGCUCUUGAAGCAUCUUAGCAGCACCAAGAAGCAUUGCAACAUGGGCAUCGUGUCCACAAGCAUGCAUUUUACCUGGAACUUUACUCCUGUGCUCCCAUUCCACUGCCUCCUGCAAUUGAAACUCCAUAAUGAUUCUUCACAUCACUAAUUCUCUUUUAACUAAAUCCGGAAAGAUCCAGUAAACUGUACAUGUAACUUACCAGCGAGCAAGCAGCAGAAAGUAAUUUGAAAAAAAAAGAACAGAAACAUAUAUAAAAGAAAAAUAAAACAAGACCUCCAUGGCUAGAGCAUCCAUAUCAGCUCUUAUGGCAACGAAAGGAGGCCCACCGGUGCCAACAUAACCAACAACACCGGUAAUAGCAACUGGGUGCUUAUAAUGGAUGCCUAAAUGAUCAAGCUCGUCUCUAAUAAGCUUACUGGUCUCAAAUUCCUCAAAACCAAGUUCUGGGUUCUCGUGGAUUCUCCUCCUAAUACCGACCAUAUAAUCUGCAAGCUCUGGUUUCUUUGCAAGGUCAAGAAAAUCGACAGGGAUUCGAGCAAGUGCUUCAGGGCUUAAAGAAGGUUUUGAGGAGACAGGCAUUGGGGCAAAGAAGUUGAGAGCUAGAAAGCAUAGAAUCCAACGUUUGAAGAGUCCCAUUAAUCUGUUGAAAUUCAAGAAACUGGAAAGGCGAGAAAGAGAGGGAGAGAGAGAGACACACACACCGAGAGAUCGUGUUGCGUGCGAUGUUGAAGUGAAGAAUAAAGAGCAAGCAAACAACGACAACGAGAGAGACAAAGAUGACGACUCCCUUGAAGGAAACAUCCAAGAAAGGUCAGUCUUUAAGAAUAAGCUAAUCGGUACACGUGGGGGGAUCACAGAGCACAGUAAAGCUCUCUCUGCUUUUAUGUCUGUUUUCCAUGGCAAAUUCUUGCUCAGAAAAAGCCAUUUUCCACAUAACCAUUACAGGAUAUGGAUGAUAGUGUAGAGCGGAGGCUAUGCUGC